rnacentral:rRNA from 1 species
CAGCAGUGGGGAAUCUUGCACAAUGGGCGAAAGCCUGAUCCAGCCAUGCCGCGUGAGUGAUGAAGGCCUUAGGGUUGUAAAGCUCUUUCACCAGGGAGGAUAAUGACGGUACCUGGAGAAUAAGCCCCGGCUAACUCCGUGCCAGCAGCCGCGGUAAUACGAAGGGGGCUAGCGUUGUUCGGAAUUACUGGGCGUAAAGGGAGCGUAGGCGGACAUUUAAGUCAGAGGUGAAAUCCCGGAGCUCAACUCCGGAACUGCCUUUGAUACUGGAUGUCUUGAGUGUGGGAGAGGUAAGUGGAAUUCCGAGUGUAGAGGUGAAAUUCGUAGAUAUUCGGAAGAACACCAGUGGCGAAGGCGACUUACUGGACCAUUACUGACGCUGAGGCUCGAAAGCGUGGGGAGCAAACAGGAUUAGAUACCCUGGUAGA